UACGAAGGGGGCUAGCGUUGUUCGGAAUUACUGGGCGUAAAGCGCGCGCAGGCGGUCUUCCAAGUCAGUGGUGAAAGCCCGGAGCUCAACUCCGGAACUGCCAUUGAAACUGUAAGACUUGAGGACGAGAGAGGUGAGUGGAAUUCCCAGUGUAGAGGUGAAAUUCGUAGAUAUUGGGAAGAACACCGGUGGCGAAGGCGGCUCACUGGCUCGUAUCUGACGCUCAGGCGCGACAGCGUGGGGAUCGAAACAGG
rnacentral:rRNA from 1 species